rnacentral:rRNA from 1 species
AGCAGCCGCGGUAAUUCCAGCUCCAAUAGCGUAUAUUAAAGUUGUUGCAGUUAAAAAGCUCGUAGUUGAAUUUCGGGAUCAAUAUAUUGGUCGUGCCUUCGGUAUGCACUGGUAUUAUUGAUUUCUACCUUCUGACGAACCAUGAUGUCAUUAAUUUGGUGUCAUGGGGAAUCAGGACUGUUACUUUGAAAAAUUAGAGUGUUUAAAGCAGGCACACGCUUGAAUACAUUAGCAUGGAAUAAUGAAAUAGGACGUUUGAUCUUAUUUUGUUGGUUUCUAGGAUCGACGUAAUGAUUAAUAGGGAUAGUUGGGGGCAUUAGUAUUCAAUUGUCAGAGGUGAAAUUCUUGGAUUUAUUGAAGACUAACUACUGCGAAAGCAUUUGCCAAGGAUGUUUUCAUUAAUCAAGAACGAAAGUUAGGGGAUCGAAGACGAUCAGAUACCGUCGUAGUCUUAAACCAUAAACUAUGCCG